GAGCUUGCUCCCUGAUGUUAGCGGCGGACGGGUGAGUAACACGUGGGUAACCUGCCUGUAAGACUGGGAUAACUCCGGGAAACCGGGGCUAAUACCGGAUGGUUGUUUGAACCGCAUGGUUCAAACAUAAAAGGUGGCUUUGGCUACCACUUACAGAUGGACCCGCGGCGCAUUAGCUAGUUGGUGAGGUAACGGCUCACCAAGGCAACGAUGCGUAGCCGACCUGAGAGGGUGAUCGGCCACACUGGGACUGAGACACGGCCCAGACUCCUACGGGAGGCAGCAGUAGGGAAUCUUCCGCAAUGGACGAAAGUCUGACGGAGCAACGCCGCGUGAGUGAUGAAGGUUUUCGGAUCGUAAAGCUCUGUUGUUAGGGAAGAACAAGUACCGUUCGAAUAGGGCGGUACCUUGACGGUACCUAACCAGAAAGCCACGGCUAACUACGUGCCAGCAGCCGCGGUAAUACGUAGGUGGCAAGCGUUGUCCGGAAUUAUUGGGCGUAAAGGGCUCGCAGGCGGUUUCUUAAGUCUGAUGUGAAAGCCCCCGGCUCAACCGGGGAGGGUCAUUGGAAACUGGGGAACUUGAGUGCAGAAGAGGAGAGUGGAAUUCCACGUGUAGCGGUGAAAUGCGUAGAGAUGUGGAGGAACACCAGUGGCGAAGGCGACUCUCUGGUCUGUAACUGACGCUGAGGAGCGAAAGCGUGGGGAGCGAACAGGAUUAGAUACCCUGGUAGUCCACGCCGUAAACGAUGAGUGCUAAGUGUUAGGGGGUUUCCGCCCCUUAGUGCUGCAGCUAACGCAU
rnacentral:rRNA from 1 species